rfam:Vibrio cholerae O1 biovar eltor str. N16961 chromosome II, complete sequence.
UGACCCUUAAUUAAGCCGAGGGUCACCUAGCCAACUGACGUUGUUAGUGAAUGAAAUUGUUCACAUUUGUUUUAUCAGCCAAUCACCCUUUUGUGAUUGGCUUUUUUCUU